rnacentral:rRNA from 1 species
UACGGAGGAUCCAAGCGUUAUCCGGAUUUAUUGGGUUUAAAGGGUGCGUAGGUGGCCUGUUAAGUCAGGGGUGAAAGACGGUAGCUCAACUAUCGCAGUGCCCUUGAUACUGAUGGGCUUGAAUGAACUAGAGGUAGGCGGAAUGUGACAAGUAGCGGUGAAAUGCAUAGAUAUGUCACAGAACACCAAUUGCGAAGGCAGCUUACUAUGGUUUUAUUGACACUGAGGCACGAAAGCGUGGGGGAUCAAACAGG